CAGCAGCAGCCGCGGUAAUACGGAGGGUGCAAGCGUUAAUCGGAAUUACUGGGCGUAAAGCGUGCGCAGGCGGUUAUAUAAGACAGAUGUGAAAUCCCCGGGCUCAACCUGGGAACUGCAUUUGUGACUGUAUAGCUAGAGUACGGCAGAGGGGGAUGGAAUUCCGCGUGUAGCAGUGAAAUGCGUAGAUAUGCGGAGGAACACCGAUGGCGAAGGCAAUCCCCUGGGCCUGUACUGACGCUCAUGCACGAAAGCGUGGGGAGCAAACAGGAUUAGAUACCCGAGUAGUCCCUGUCUCUUAUAC
rnacentral:rRNA from 1 species